UACGUAGGGUGCGAGCGUUGUCCGGAAUUACUGGGCGUAAAGAGCUCGUAGGUGGUUUGUCGCGUUGUUCGUGAAAACUCACAACUCAAUUGUGGGCGUGCGGGCGAUACGGGCAGACUGGAGUACUGCAGGGGAGACUGGAAUUCCUGGUGUAGCGGUGGAAUGCGCAGAUAUCAGGAGGAACACCGGUGGCGAAGGCGGGUCUCUGGGCAGUAACUGACGCUGAGGAGCGAAAGCGUGGGGAACGAACAGG
rnacentral:rRNA from 1 species